rnacentral:misc_RNA from 1 species
GUUUCAAUAACUACUCAUAGAGCCGGAAGCAGAAUCCUUGAUUGAUGGAAGUACAGGUGAACGUGAGGCCUUUAAAAAGACGCUUCAGAUGUUACAACCUGAUAAAUCGAUAAACUUCGAUUUUUCGACUGUUGUAUCUUUGCCGAGAGGUUUUAAACACUCUACAAUAACGGGUUAUAAUUUUUCCAUUGUAAAGCUAAAAAAAGAAAAGCUUUGUAAGAUAUUCAUUUUAUGCGUUGAUAACGUUAGAAUCGUUCGACGCCUCCCGAAGUAUAAUGCAAACACACCAGAUAAAACGUGGUGACAGGACGGACAAUGAAAGUGUUAUCGUUUACCAGAGGCUCUGAAAUGAAUAAUUCAAAGUUGUGUAACAUUCUGGAAGUAGGAAGUCGAAUAGCCUUGAGAGAACGUUUGGAGGUCUUCUGGGAAUGCAGUCAGGUAGGAAUCACGUGUCACAGGACCCUUUAGUGAAAUGCUGCCACUACCUUUCGAAAACUACAGUCCGCCGGUGAACGAUUAAGAUCUUGGGAAAAAUCGUUCUACGUGACUAGAAAUAUAUUUUAAAAGAAAAUGAUUAGAAUAACGUAAUUGAUGUAUUGAAGAAUGUAUUCAGAAACCAGUGUUAAUCCUUAUAAAUGUAAUUAAUUUGAAUAUUUAAAAAAGCCGA